rnacentral:misc_RNA from 1 species
AGCAGCCGCGGUAAUUCCAGCUCCAAUAGCGUAUAUUAAAGUUGUUGCAGUUAAAAAGCUCGUAGUUGAAUUUCGGGAUUAAUAUGUUGGUCGUGCCUUGGUACGUACUGGCAUUAUUGAUUCCUACCUUCUGAAGAACCUCGAUGUCAUUAAUUUGGUGUCUUGGGGAAUCAGGACCGUUACUUUGAAAAAAUUAGAGUGUUUAAAGCAGGCUCGCGCUUGAAUACAUUAGCAUGGAAUAAUGAAAUAGGACGUUUGAUUCUAUUUUGUUGGUUUCUAGGAUCGACGUAAUGAUUAAUAGGGAUAGUUGGGGGCAUUAGUAUUCAAUUGUCAGAGGUGAAAUUCUUGGAUUUAUUGAAGACUGACUACUGCGAAAGCAUUUGCCAAGGAUGUUUUCAUUAAUCAAGAACGAAAGUUAGGGGAUCGAAGACGAUCAGAUACCGUCGUAGUCUUAACCAUAAACUAUGCCGACUAGGGAUCGGAUGAUGUUAAUUUUAAUGACUCAUUCGGCGCCUUAACC